CCAAUAGCGUAUAUUAAAGUUGUUGCAGUUAAAAAGCUCGUAGUUGAAUUUCGGAAUCUGUCCAUCGGUCGGGCUUCACUGUUCGUACUGGUGUGGUGGGUUCUUACCUUCUGAAUAACCAGCAUGCCAUUCACUUGGUGCGUUGGGGAAGCAGGACUAUUACCUUGAAAAAAUUAGAGUGCUCAAAGCAGGCCAGUGCCUGAAUACAUUAGCAUGGAAUAAUAAAAUAGGACGGCAUGGUUCUAUUUUGUUGGUUUCUAGGAUCACCGUAAUGAUUAAUAGGGAUAGUUGGGGGCAUUAGUAUUCAAUUGUCAGAGGUGAAAUUCUUGGAUUUAUUGAAGACUAACUUCUGCGAAAGCAUUUGCCAAGGAUGUUUUCAUUAAUCAAGAACGAAAGUUAGGGGAUCGAAGACGAUCAGAUACCGUCGUAGUCUUAACCAUAAACUAUGCCGACUAGGGAUCGGACGAUGUUAAUUUUUUAAUGACUCGUUCGGCGCCUUACG
rnacentral:rRNA from 1 species